AACGUAGGUGGCUAGCGUUGCCCGGAAUCACUGGGCGUAAAGGGUGCGUAGGCGGGUCUUUAAGUCAGGGGUGAAAUCCUGGAGCUCAGCUCCAGAACUGCCUUUGAUACUGAGGAUCUUGAGUUCGGGAGAGGUGAGUGGAACUGCGAGUGUAGAGGUGAAAUUCGUAGAUAUUCGCAAGAACACCAGUGGCGAAGGCGGCUCACUGGCCCGAUACUGACGCUGAGGCACGAAAGCGUGGGGAGCAAACAGG
rnacentral:rRNA from 1 species